rnacentral:tRNA from 1 species
CAGCCCAUAGCUUAAUGAAAGCAUCUUGCUUACACCAAGAAAACACCCGUUAAACUCGAGUUGAGCUGA